GGGGUAUAGUUCAGUAAUGGAACAUUUGCCUAGCAAGUGAAAGGCCCUGGGUUCAAUCCCUAGUAACCACA
rnacentral:tRNA from 1 species